rnacentral:rRNA from 1 species
GUGGGGAAUAUUGGGCAAUGGGCGAAAGCCUGACCCAGCAACGCCGCGUGAAGGAAGAAGGUUUUCGGAUCGUAAACUUCUAUCCUUGGUGAAGAUAAUGACGGUAGCCAAGAAGGAAGCCCCGGCUAACUACGUGCCAGCAGCCGCGGUAAUACGUAGGGGGCAAGCGUUGUCCGGAAUGAUUGGGCGUAAAGGGCGCGUAGGCGGCCUGGUAAGUCUGGAGUGAAAGUCCUGCUUUUAAGGUGGGAAUUGCUUUGGAUACUGUCGGGCUUGAGUGUAGGAGAGGUAAGUGGAAUUCCCGGUGUAGCGGUGAAAUGCGUAGAGAUCGGGAGGAACACCAGUGGCGAAGGCGACUUACUGGACUGUAACUGACGCUGAGGCGCGAAAGUGUGGGGAGCAAACAGGAUUAGAAACCCUAGUAGUCC